rnacentral:rRNA from 1 species
GCUUGUCUCAAAGAUUAAGCCAUGCAUGUCUAAGUAUAAACAAAUCUAUACGUGAAACUGCGAAUGGCUCAUUAUAUCAGUUAUAGUUUAUUUGAUGGUACUUACUUACUCGGAUAACCGUAGUAAUUCUAGAGCUAAUACGUGCGUAAAUCCCGACUUCUGGAAGGGACGUAUUUAUUAGAUAAAAGGCCGACCGGGCUCUGCCCGACUCGCGGUGAAUCAUGAUAACUUCACGAAUCGCACGGCCUCGUGCCGGCGAUGUUUCAUUCAAAUUUCUGCCCUAUCAAUUGGCGAUGGUAGGAUAGAGGCCUACCAUGGUGUUAACGGGUGACGGGGGAUUAGGGUUCGAUUCCGGAGAGGCAGCCUGAGAAACGGCUACCACAUCCAAGGAAGGCAGCAGG